rnacentral:rRNA from 2 species
CUAAUCUGCGAUAAGCGCCGGUAAGGUGAUAUGAACCGUUAUAACCGGCGAUACCCGAAUGGGGAAACCCAGUGUGACUCGUCACACUAUCAUUAACUGAAUCCAUAGGUUAAUGAGGCGAACCGGGGGAACUGAAACAUCUAAGUACCCCGAGGAAAAGAAAUCAACCGAGAUUCCCCCAGUAGCGGCGAGCGAACGGGGAGGAGCCCAGAGCCUGAAUCAGCAUGUGUGUUAGUGGAAGCGUCUGGAAAGGCGCGCGAUACAGGGUGACAGCCCCGUACACAAAAGCGCAUGUGCUGUGAGCUCGAUGAGUAGGGCGGGACACGUGGUAUCCUGUCUGAAUAUGGGGGGACCAUCCUCCAAGGCUAAAUACUCCUGACUGACCGAUAGUGAACCAGUACCGUGAGGGAAAGGCGAAAAGAACCCCGGCGAGGGGAGUGAAAAAGAACCUGAAACCGUGUACGUACAAGCAGUGGGAGCCCCACCACCAAAGCAUUUGCUGUACCGCGUUGACGGAGCGAAGCGACGUCAAACCGAUAAAACAGCAGUGUAAAGUGAGCCGCAGGGCGCUUUGCGCGACAGCGCAAAGGCAGGCGGUUUCGCGUAGCGAAAGCGAAUGCUUUGGGGUGG